rnacentral:lncRNA from 1 species
GAGGCGGAAAAUUUGAGGUAGCGACAGCAGAUGGCAGGCCUUCAGUUGUAGCGAAGGAGGAAGGUGCAUGCACAGCAGGUGGCACUGACACACUCCAGCAGUGCACAGCAGCCAGAAGUCAACCAGCAAACGGAAAGAGAGAGGAAGUGAACCACAGCAAAGCAGCGCAGGAGGGCAGCACAGCAGCAGAGGAUAGGGGCAGAGGUGAGGGGCCGAGGAAGGGGACGCCCUUUGACAGGAACGGUGGCCCCUCACAGGAGACCCUAGCACAACUGACAGCCAUGGGCUUCACAGAUCUGCAGGCCAGAAAUGCACUGCGGGCCACUGGGAACAGCUUGGAACGGGCAGCAAACUGGCUGCUCUUGGGACUCAGGUCAUGACCGAUUAUUAUCAAUCGGGAACAGCAUGGGAAGCAUUUGCGCAGCCACAAGCAAGGAAUCACCCUUUAUGGGAUUCAGAGAUGCAGUGGUAGAAUAAGUGAACUCUGCUGUUGAACAAUUGAACAGUACUCUGGUGGUAAACAGGAGAAGCUUAUAAAUUCGGAGUACCUUAUGAGGACUCCCUUUUAAAUAUGUUAGGCGUACCACUGAACAGAUCAUGGUACCACCGGUGCCAGCA